CUACAAUUUAUGGAGUGAUUGAAUCCAAUCUCGUUAUUAAACAUAAAGCAUGAUUGUAGACUUUUAAUAUGAAUCAUGCUUAAUUAUAUACCACUCUCCCUCCCUAUCAUACGAAACAUUCCAAACAAGGCUUAUCCAAACCAGCCAAUCAAACUCUUUGCUGUUUCAACUGAGCUAUUCAUACUUACUCCAGUAAACUACCACAACUAG